rnacentral:rRNA from 1 species
CAAUAGCGUCUAUUAAAGUUGUUGCGGUCAAAAAGCUCGUAGUUGGAUUUCUGUUGAGAGCGACCGGUCCAUACCAUGUAUGCGUAUCUGGCUUGCUCUCGGCAUCCUCUCGAUAGACGUUACUGCGCUUGAUUGCGUGGUGCGGAUCUCGGGACUUUUACUUUGAGGAAAUUAGAGUGUUCACGGCAGGCUUUCGCCAGAAUACAUUAGCAUGGAAUAAUACUAUAGGAUCUUGGUUCUAUUUUGUUGGUUUCUAGAAUUGAGAUAAUGAUUAAUAGGGACAAUUGGGGGCAUUCGUAUCAACACGUCAGAGGUGGAAUUCUUGGAUUGUGUUGCGACGAACUACUGCGAAAGCAUUUGCCAAGUAUGUUUUCAUUGA